UUUUAAAUAUUCCAGGUAGGAAAAGGUGGGUGGAGUGGACUCUGCCUGUGUUACUUAGGGCAUGUUUGGUUCACCGGAUUAGGUCGGGCACGGAUUAACUAAUCCGUAUGGAAUAUAAUUUCGGGCGUUUGGUUCAACGGAUUGCGGAUUGGCUAUUCCGAGUCGGGAGCCAUAUCCGGUUUACACACGGAAUACGGGAGCCGCCCAUCAGGGUCCGGAUUAGCUUAUCCGGAUGCGGAAAUGGAGGCGAAUUGACAAAAAUACCCUCAUCGUCUUUCGUUAAUUACAAUGUAUGCCAUCCUAUAAAAGCCUCACUUUCAGCGAUCGGACAUUUCCCCCUGGAAGAAAAUUGUAAACCCUAGCAGAGCGUGACGACAUCCCGAUUCGAACCUCCCCUGAGAAGCUCCAGCCGAACCUCCCCGAUUCGUGCCAUAGCCCAGGAUUUUGGCUAAUCGGCAAUCAGCUCAGAGGUCGAGGGUGAGAAAGUUGCAGUAUAUAUCGGAGCUCGAACAAAGCGUGACGACAUUUCAGGUGGUACCGAGCCAGAAUAUCGCUUGGAAAUGGUGCAGGAUUUCCUUACGAAUCAAGCACCGCCAUCUAUGUAGACGACGAGCUCGUCGGGAGUGGCGAGUAUCGGCCCAAGAAGGAGAUUGCGAUCAAGUUUCCCUGAAAUUGUGUAGUCCGGUGGUCUUCUAAAUUCUCCUAGACGCAUGUCAGGAUUUUGGUUUUUGGGGUUGAAUACUGCAGCUGCAUUUGUGUUGGCCCGUUUAUUACUAUGCUUGAAUGUUUUCUAAAUUUUUGCGAAUCUUUACAUGGUGUUGGGGCUGGUAGUUGAUUUUGCGUUUUAGAACGUAGUACGCCUCUUUGAACCAAAUCCGCACAUUUCCGAUGCUUUUCAUCUAUACAUUCGAUUUCCUUGAGCAGU